UAAGGAAUAUUGGUCAAUGGAGGAAACUCUGAACCAGCCAUGCCGCGUGGAGGAUGAAGGUCCUCUGGAUUGUAAACUUCUUUUAUAUGGGACGAAAAAACGGUUUUCUAACCGGACUGACGGUACCAUACGAAUAAGCACCGGCUAACUCCGUGCCAGCAGCCGCGGUAAUACGGAGGGUGCAAGCGUUAUCCGGAUUCACUGGGUUUAAAGGGAGCGCAGGUGGGCUAGUAAGUCAGUGGUGAAAUCUCCGGGCUUAACCCGGAAAUUGCCGUUGAUACUAUUAGUCUUGAAUAUUGUGGAGGUUAGCGGAAUAUGUCAUGUAGCGGUGAAAUGCUUAGAUAUGACAUGGAACACCAAUUGCGAAGGCAGCUGGCUACACAAAUAUUGACACUGAGGCUCGAAAGCGUGGGGAUCAAACAGG
rnacentral:rRNA from 1 species